UAGCUCAGUUUUGAUACGUUUUCAAAGCAACAUGGAAUGUUAUAGGAGCCCAAAAUAUCUUUACAUGCAUUCAUUCUAGCAAAACAUAUCUUUACAUCCAAGGAACGAAUAAGUGCCACACAAAACUAUUCUACAACAAAGAAAAGAAAAGAAAAUAGAUGACAAGACAUCACAGAAGUUCCUAUUGUCCUCCUCCUCCAACAUGUGAAAACCUUCACCUAGAAGUAGAUCAAUCAUGAGUGAGAAAUAGUACAGCAGCAAAUAAUAAUGUUCGGACGAUGCAAAAAAUAAGAGCCAUUACACAUGGUAUUCACAUAUAGAUUGUAAGUCAUGGAUACAUUACACAUACUUUUUGUGUUGUCGAGUAUCUUCAUGCAAUUGCUACUUGGUAAGGCAUUACAAUGCUCCAGGAAGUGUACCACACUACAGUCAACAGUCUACAGUAUGCACAACUAGGAAUUGUGAGUCACAUUGCAUAUCCACAUCAGAAACUAAGUCAAACAUGCAUGCUACUAAUCAGCAUCAGCAUUCAGUAGUACUCAACCAAUGACAGUAGAAAAAUGUACUACCUCAUCACCCUUUUCGCGCAAGUGCUUGAUGAAGUUCUGGAACUAGUUCUUGUACCCAAAGGUGUAGCUGCAAACAUGCAUGGAAGACGCAUACAAAAUUAGUUUAAAUUGUGAAAGCAUACAUGGAAAGUCAGCUUAAUCACCAUUAUCUUAAAAAGGUUUAUCAUCUUCCUGUGAAACAUGAGGGAAUGAGGUAACGAGCAUAAGCUAAAGAGAGAGACUUUUCAUAGGAACAAAAAUGACAAAAACAAGAAUAGUACCAUUCAGGCUUAAGAAUGGUUUUCCACAUAAGAUUUGUUCUUGAUUAGCUUAAUAGCUGGGGCAGAAGAAGAAGCAUUUGAGGAGGAAAGCUACAUACAUGUGCACUUGUGGGGCCACAUAUUUCUGGGUCGUCCACCACACUAGCCACCAUCACGUACCUGUCGCCAACAGCAAUGUUGCUCCUACAGCAGCAACAGGUAACCAUUUAUAAAUUAAACGGACAGUCCAGCUAUAAAGUGGAUGGCACAAACAAGUUGGCUGCUGACAUAUAACUUUCUGCAACAACAAAUGAUUUUCAUCGUGACCCAACAUGUAAACAUCAGUCACUCACCUCGGCAUCAGCUUCGGGCACCUUCUUCUUGAAGAUUUCUUCUUUGCCCCUGAAGAAGCAUUCGCCAGCAGGCUUGGUGUUCCUACAAUCUGCAUCAUCAUGCAUGCACAAGUGUGUCAGUUUCAAUAUAGUAGGCUAGCUUUAUAAGGAAGAAAGGAACAAUCCAUCCAUCCAUCUAAUGCAAAUAUUUGCACUAAAACUAUGAUGAACCUCCACCCAAAAUUAUAUCUCUAGGAGAGAGGGGCCCACUUAUAUAACAACAAUACCAACUAACAAGAGCUAAUUAAUAAUCCUACUAUAUACUAGCAUAAAAACCGAACAAGUACUUCCACUUCAAUCAAGUGUGGACAAGUAGAUGUUUAAGCAGGGACAAUUUCACAGCCCAAUAUUGACAUUGCUAAGAAGCCGGAUAUAAAAAUACGGAGCAGAAACUAGCAACAUAUACAUAUACCUUCAGUACAACCUCCUCAAAGCACUACUCCACAUUCACUUUGGUCUUCACGAUGCAUUCCAGAUAGACAUAAAGUCAAUGCCUUCCUUCUUGGUGACUGAGGGAGUCCCGGAUUAGGGGGUGUCCGGAUAGCCGGACUACCAUCAUCAGCCGAACUAUCAUCGACCGGACUCCAAGACUAUGAAGAUACAAGAUUGAAGACUUCGUCCCGUGUCUGGAUGGGACUUUCCUUGGUGUGGAAGGCAAGCUUGGCGAUACGGAUACGUAGAUCUCCUACCAUUGUAACCGACUCUAUGUAACCCUAGCCCUCUCCGGUGUCUAUAUAAACCGGAUGGCUCUAGUCCAUAGGAGACGACAACAACCAUUACAAUCAUACCAUAGGCUAGCUUCUAGGGUUUAGCCUCCUUGAUCACGUGGUAGAUCCACUCUUGUAAACAUCCACAAUAUCAAUAUCAAUCAAGCAGGAUGUAGGGUUUUACCUCCAUCAAGAGGGCCCGAACCUGGGUAAAACAUCGUGUCCCUCGUCUCCUGUUACCAUCCGCC
rnacentral:lncRNA from 1 species